AACGAACGCUGGCGGCAGGCCUAACACAUGCAAGUCGAGCGAAGCCUUCGGGCUUAGCGGCGGACGGGUGAGUAACGCGUGGGAACGUGCCCUUUGGUACGGAAUAGCCCCGGGAAACUGGGAGUAAUACCGUAUGUGGUCGAGACACGAAAGAUUGAUCGCCAAAGGAUCGGCCCGCGUUGGAUUAGGUAGUUGGUGGGGUAAUGGCCUACCAAGCCGACGAUCCAUAGCUGGUUUGAGAGGAUGAUCAGCCAAACUGGGACUGAGACACGGCCGAGAUUCCUACGGGCAGCAGCAGUGGGGAAUCUUAGACAAUGGGGGAAACCCUCAUCUAGCCAUGCCGCGUGAUCGAUGAAGGCCUUAGGGUUGUAAAGAUCUUUCAGUGGGGAAGAUAAUGACUGUACCCACAGAAGAAGCCCCGGCUAACUCCGUGCCAGCCGCCGCCGUAACAC
rnacentral:rRNA from 1 species